rnacentral:rRNA from 1 species
GAUGAACGCUGGCGGCGUGCCUAAUACAUGCAAGUCGAGCGAACGGACGAGAAGCUUGCUUCUCUGAUGUUAGCGGCGGACGGGUGAGUAACACGUGGAUAACCUACCUAUAAGACUGGGAUCACUUCGGGAAACCGGAGCUAAUACCGGAUGAUAUUUUGCACCGCAUGGUUCAAAAGUGAAAGACGGUCUUGCUGUCACUUAUAGCUGGAUCCGCGCUGCAUUAGCUAGUUGGUAAGGUAACGGCUUACCAAGGCAACGAGGCAUAGCCGACCUGAGAGGGUGAUCGGCCACACUGGAACGGAGACACGGUCCAGACUCCUACGGGAGGCAGCAGUAGGGAAUCUUCCGCAAUGGGCGAAAGCCUGACGGAGCAACGCCGCGUGAGUGAUGAAGGUCUUCGGAUCGUAAAACUCUGUUAUUAGGUAAGAACAUAUGUGUAAGUAACUGUGCACAUCUUGACGGUACCUAAUCAGAAAGCCACGGCUAACUACGUG